rnacentral:rRNA from 1 species
UCUUCCGCAAUGGACGAAAGUCUGACGGAGCAACGCCGCGUGAGUGACGAAAGUUUUCGGAUAGUAAAACUCUGUUUUUAGGGAAGAACAAGUACCGUUCGAAUAGGGCGGUACCUUGACGGUACCUAACCAGAAAGACACGGCUAACUAGGUGCCAGCAGCCGCGGUAAUACGUAGGUGGCAAGCGUUGUCCGGAAUUAUUGGGCGUAAGGCGCGCGCAGGCGGUUUCUUAAGUCUGAUGUGAAAGCCCCCGGCUCAACCGGGGAGGGUCAUUGGAAACUGGGGAACUUGAGUGCAGAAGAGGAGAGUGGAAUUCCACGUGUAGCGGUGAAAUGCGUAGAGAUGUGGAGGAACACCAGUGGCGAAGGCGACUCUCUGGUCUGUAACUGACGCUGAGGCGCGAAAGCGUGGGGAGCGAACAG